ACAUGCCUACAACAUAGUAUUAAUGCACUAAAUCUCAUUAGAACUCCACAAUUAAGCAUGCUCGGGUUGGAGUAGUACUGGGAUGAGUGACCGCCUAGGAAGUCCUAGUGUUUUACAUGCC
rfam:Picea glauca, whole genome shotgun sequence.